GAUGAAGAACGCAGUGAAAUGCGAUAAUUAAUGUGAAUUGCAGAAUUCAGUGAAUCAUCGAGUCUUUGAACGCACAUUGCGCCCCCUGGUAUUCCGGGGGGCAUGCCUGUCCGAGCGUCAUUGCUGCCCUCAAGCACGGCUUGUGUGUUGAGCUUCCGUCCCUGGCAACGGGGACUGGCCCAAAAGGCAGUGGCGGCACCAUGUCUGGUCCUCGAGCGUAUGGGGCUUUGUCACCCGCUCCCGUAGGUCCAGCUGGCAGCUAGCCUCGCAACCAAUCUUUUUAACCAGGUUGACCUCGGAUCAGGUAGGGAUACCCGCUGAACUUAAGCAUAUCAAUAAGCGGAGGA
rnacentral:misc_RNA from 1 species